GCCUCCACCUGGAUUCCACGCCUCCUCACCACUUCAGGCUUCUUCCUCAGUGCGUGGAGCUGGCUGUGCCUUGAGUACAUCAGGCAGAUGGUUGGUUCCCAUUGCAUCAACAAACAAGGAAACCAAGCUGAAAGAAGAGGCACAAGUUGUUUCAUCUGAGACUAAAAAAAAAGCUAGACAGGAGGCAACAGAUGAUGUGAGUGAUACUGAUGAGUCAAAAGGCGCAGUCAGCGGCAGAGUGUGCGCUUCGUCCCGGAGACAAGAGAAUCAACGGAGAGAAUGUUACGUCAACCACUAAUUUGUUAAUUAAUUUUACAGAAAGGCAUCUAUGUCUCCUUACCCUCCCCCCACAAUGGCAUUUCCUCAUUCCACUGUACACUGACGUGGAGAAUUUUUCAAAAACACAAAUCUUGUAUAGUUCCUGACUAUUCACUCAAGCGGUCCGGGUUAUUUUUAUUUUUAUUUUUUUUGUCUCAAUGGAUCUGAACCAGAGCUUCAUGUUUGUCAGUGGGUCUCUGGCCUCCUUAUGAGAGGGAAUUACUCGUUACACCACCAUCCCCCACCCCUACAAGUAUGCUGUUCACAGUGAAGUCCAUCAUCAGUGUAGGGAGUGGGACCCGGCCGGGGUCAUUGGCUGAAAUCCUGCUGCCACUAGAAAUCAAGAAAAACACACAAGAGAAAUAGAGAAUGAUGAGUGGCUGAAAUAUCUACUGGGAAGAUAUUUAAAAUCCUCGGAAAUGUCGAGAGUAGGGCUGUGAACCCUAUGUUAGGACAAAGUAAUUCACAUCGCAUAAUCAUAAAGAGAUCAUCUGGUCCAUUGUUUUUAAAAUUAUUUCUUAGCAGAUUCUGUUCUCAAGCAAAAUCUUAGGCAGGCUUCUAAUACCACAAAAGGAAUAGUGAAGAUAAAGGAAGAGCUGCUCAUACUGGGAAUAUCCCAGCAUAGAUUAUUCUACAUGGUUCUAAGACAUUUCUAAUUCAAAACGGCAAGACUAAAGAGCAAAGAGUUUGCAAGAAUGUGAAUUUGCUGUUCAGUAAUUGAGCUCACUGAAAACAAAAGUGCAGCUACAACCCAAUCUCUUUUCAGAGCACAUUGGAAUGGGGUUCUUUCUAGCACUCAGUAUGUUCACAACAACUGUUCAGUGAAGUAUGGGGUACAUGGAAAAAUCUACAUUGCAGUUUAGAAAACUUCCCAGUGAAUGGUCGAAUUCAAACACCAUAUGUCAAACCAUUCACUUUUAUUGAUCAAGACAGGUUGUUCUCGUAGAGGGAAGGCUUAAUUUAAUGACUCUGGAUAACAGGUGGCUUGGUUCAUAUGUUGAUAACUAUAGAUAAUGUGCUCUUGUUUUUUAUAGUAGUACACACAUCUUUCGGGACUGGAAGCCCCAAAUAACAAAAUGCCUCAUUCACCAGCCUCUUUGCCUAUCAUCACCAUCACCCGCCUCUUCCUGGUCAUACCUGAGAAACUUCUCCUAGUCAAGGUACUAUGGUCAGUGCCGACAGGGCUUCCACGAGCUCCUCCCAGAGUGACACCGUCUGUCUAUGUGAAUCAGAGAAGGCUCUUCCUUUUCCAGUACUAUGGAAUAAUUACGAGGGAUGCAUUGAAUCCUAGCAGCAUGGGCUGUCCUCAGUAGGAUGAUGCUGUGCAUGAUGGAAAGUCACUAUACCACUUAAGAGGAGCAGUUGCUGAGCCCUCAUCCUUUACCAGCCCUCCACUGCUCUUUCCCAUCAUAGCCUCAGGGUGACUAUGAAGGGGCAGCAGGAGGAGACCUUUCUGUUGAGGGCAUAGUUCUGCACAGGAAUCUACACAUCUUGUAGGAUGGCACGGGACUACACACAUUGUAGCAAUAUGAAUUUCCUGGUUUUAAUAUUGCAAUGUUGUUCCACAACACGUAACCACAGAGGGAAGCCGCAAAGUGGAUUAGAGAUCUCUCCAUAUUAGUUUUGCAUUUUCCUGUUAAUCUAUAAUCAUGUCAAAAUAAAAGGUUUUCUUUAAAAAAAAA
rnacentral:lncRNA from 1 species